CUAACGUCUUCAGGCGUGGCGCUCUGUGAUCCUGUUUUAUAUAGACAACAAAAGCAGGAGCAGCACCAAAGCUAAUCAGGGGGUGGAAUAAGCACAACGCCAGACGGAGCCCCAAUCCACACCAUGGCUGCUGUGAUGCACCAGACCAAAACGCUGUCCUCCACUGGCUCUCCUAACAGUGAUGGACAAACACCAUCCAGUAACUGUAUUUCUGCAGUUACAUUCAUAUAUUUAGGCGAUGCUUUUAUACAAAGCAACGUGCGAUUGAGAAAGCAUUAUCAGCCAGUCCCUGGAGGGAAAUCACUCUUUCAACUAGGGGAUUUGAACCAGUGACCUUCCGAUUUUUUCCCGCUCAGAUUUCUACUGGGAUUCUACAUUUUCUUUUGCUGUUUCAUUCCACGCUGCCCGGCCAAAAAAGAGUUUGUCAUUUGAAUUUAUAUCAGCCAAUACUUACGAGCCAAUGACUGGAUCAUUAUUACAGCUCAGCAACGUUAUGCAGCAAUAAAGUGAAGUCAGCUGAGUACCUGAAUCUACUGAACGGCCAGGUUACGCUUCCAUCCAUCAUCAAUGGAUUUUUUUCUUCCCUGUUGACAUGGACAUAUUCCAGGACAAGGAUGCCAAGAUUCGCUGGGUUCGUCAAAGAGUGGUUCAGGGAGCGCGAGGAACCAUUUUCACGUAUGACUUAGUCACCACAGAGUUGCGACCUUAACUUCAUUGAAGGUCUUUGGGAUGUACUGAAGGAGGCUUUAUGGGGAGGUUCAAUUCACUUGUCAAUACAAGAUGUCGGUGAGAAAUUAAAGCAAAUCUGGAUGAAAAUAAAGAGUGAGAUGUUGCAUAAGCCUGCGGAAACAAUGUCAUGACAAAUGUGCGGCAUAAUCAAAGCUAAAGGCGCUCCAACGAAAAAUUUACAGUGAAUAUGAUCUAAUAGCCAGUGGAAAU